ACCUGGGUGGCUCAGUCGGUUGAGUGUCUGACUUCAACUCAGGUCAUGAUCUCGUGGCUUGUGAGUUCGAGCCCCGCAUCCGGUU
rnacentral:tRNA from 1 species